GUAAAUAUAGUUUAACAAAAACACUAGAUUGUGAAUCUAAUAACAGAAGAUAAACCUUCUUAUUUACC
rnacentral:tRNA from 1 species